rnacentral:rRNA from 1 species
AUGGUCGUUGUCACAUGGUGGUGGUGGCACAGGGCCACGCAGCCGCGCUCCGGGCCACGGCGAGCGGCGUCGCGGUCACCGACAGCGGAACAGAAUCAUCGGCAGCUUUUGGCGUGGCGAGUAACAUGCACGGCCACUAGCUACUCCAUCCAUCGGUCCCGAAGCCAUCUCACUCAUCUGCGCACAUGCGCUGCGCAGCCCACCCACGUCCGGCCGAGAUCCCGACGCGCCCUCGCACCCGCGCCACACGAAAGCACAUCAGUGCGCAGGGGAAGCCGGUCGACCCGGGGCGCGCACGCUCCCUCGAUCAGCCCGCAGGCAGGGCGCGGCCGGUUAUACACCGCACGUGCCGGCCAGCGCGCGCCGGGGCCAUGCCCACGCAUGCCAUGCUCAGGACGCGUACGUGGGCGCGUGCAGCCAGAGCAUGCGUGA